GUCUGUAUGAAAUUAAAUAUUAAGUCUGGCCUGCCCACUGAUUUAGUUUAAAGGGCCGCGGUAAUUUGACCGUGCGAAGGUAGCAUAAUAAAUAGUCUUUUAAUUGAAGGCUUGAAUGAAUGGUCGGACAAGAGGAAAUCUGUCUCUUUUAACAAGAUUGAAUUUAACAUUUGUGUGAGAAGGCAUAAAUGAGUUAGAGGGACGAUAAGACCCUGUAAAACUUGAUAGUUAAUUUUGUUAGUUUUUAAAGUUAUUUUAAAGGGGGCUAGUUAAUAGCUAUUUUGUUGGGGUGACAGGAAUAUAAGAUGUAAUGUAACUGUUCUGUAAAUUAAAUAAUUAUAAUUAGUUGGUGAUCCUUUAUUGGGGAUUUGAAAAUUAAGUUACUUUAGGGAUAACAGCGUAAUUUUUUCUGAGAGUCCAUAUCGACGAAAUAAUUUGCGACCUCGAUGUUGAAUUAAAAUUUCCUCUAAAUGUAGCAGUUUAGAAGGUAGGUCUGUUCGACCUUUAAUAAUUUUACAUGAUUUGAGUUCAAACCGGUGUGAG
rnacentral:rRNA from 1 species